AAACUGCGAAUACCGGAGAAUGUUAUCACGGGAGACACACGGCGGGUGCUAACGUCCGUCGUGAAGAGGGAAACAACCCAGACCGCCAGCUAAGGUCCCAAAGUCAUGGUUAAGUGGGAAACGAUGUGGGAAGGCCCAGACAGCCAGGAUGUUGGCUUAGAAGCAGCCAUCAUUUAAAGAAAGCGUAAUAGCUCACUGGUCGAGUCGGCCUGCGCGGAAGAUGUAACGGGGCUAAACCAUGCACCGAAGCUGCGGCAGCGACACUAUGUGUUGUUGGGUAGGGGAGCGUUCUGUAAGCCUGUGAAGGUGUACUGUGAGGUAUGCUGGAGGUAUCAGAAGUGCGAAUGCUGACAUAAGUAACGAUAAAGCGGGUGAAAAGCCCGCUCGCCGGAAGACCAAGGGUUCCUGUCCAACGUUAAUCGGGGCAGGGUGAGUCGACCCCUAAGGCGAGGCCGAAAGGCGUAGUCGAUGGGAAACAGGUUAAUAUUCCUGUACUUGGUGUUACUGCGAAGGGGGGACGGAGAAGGCUAUGUUGGCCGGGCGACGGUUGUCCCGGUUUAAGCGUGUAGGCUGGUUUUCCAGGCAAAUCCGGAAAAUCAAGGCUGAGGCGUGAUGACGAGGCACUACGGUGCUGAAGCAACAAAUGCCCUGCUUCCAGGAAAAGCCUCUAAGCAUCAGGUAACAUCAAAUCGUACCCCAAACCGACACAGGUGGUCAGGUAGAGAAUACCAAGGCGCUUGAGAGAACUCGGGUGAAGGAACUAGGCAAAAUGGUGCCGUAACUUCGGGAGAAGGCACGCUGAUAUGUAGGUGAAGUCCCUCGCGGAUGGAGCUGAAAUCAGUCGAAGAUACCAGCUGGCUGCAACUGUUUAUUAAAAACACAGCACUGUGCAAACACGAAAGUGGACGUAUACGGUGUGACGCCUGCCCGGUGCCGGAAGGUUAAUUGAUGGGGUUAGCGCAAGCGAAGCUCUUGAUCGAAGCCCCGGUAAACGGCGGCCGUAACUAUAACGGUCCUAAGGUAGCGAAAUUCCUUGUCGGGUAAGUUCCGACCUGCACGAAUGGCGUAAUGAUGGCCAGGCUGUCUCCACCCGAGACUCAGUGAAAUUGAACUCGCUGUGAAGAUGCAGUGUACCCGCGGCAAGACGGAAAGACCCCGUGAACCUUUACUAUAGCUUGACACUGAACAUUGAGCCUUGAUGUGUAGGAUAGGUGGGAGGCUUUGAAGUGUGGACGCCAGUCUGCAUGGAGCCGACCUUGAAAUACCACCCUUUAAUGUUUGAUGUUCUAACGUUGACCCGUAAUCCGGGUUGCGGACAGUGUCUGGUGGGUAGUUUGACUGGGGCGGUCUCCUCCUAAAGAGUAACGGAGGAGCACGAAGGUUGGCUAAUCCUGGUCGGACAUCAGGAGGUUAGUGCAAUGGCAUAAGCCAGCUUGACUGCGAGCGUGACGGCGCGAGCAGGUGCGAAAGCAGGUCAUAGUGAUCCGGUGGUUCUGAAUGGAAGGGCCAUCGCUCAACGGAUAAAAGGUACUCCGGGGAUAACAGGCUGAUACCGCCCAAGAGUUCAUAUCGACGGCGGUGUUUGGCACCUCGAUGUCGGCUCAUCACAUCCUGGGGCUGAAGUAGGUCCCAAGGGUAUGGCUGUUCGCCAUUUAAAGUGGUACGCGAGCUGGGUUUAGAACGUCGUGAGACAGUUCGGUCCCUAUCUGCCGUGGGCGCUGGAGAACUGAGGGGGGCUGCUCCUAGUACGAGAGGACCGGAGUGGACGCAUCACUGGUGUUCGGGUUGUCAUGCCAAUGGCACUGCCCGGUAGCUAAAUGCGGAAGAGAUAAGUGCUGAAAGCAUCUAAGCACGAAACUUGCCCCGAGAUGAGUUCUCCCUGACUCCUUGAGAGUCCUGAAGGAACGUUGAAGACGACGACGUUGAUAGGCCGGGUGUGUAAGCGCAGCGAUGCGUUGAGCUAACCGGUACUAAUGAACCGUGAGGCUUAACCUU
rnacentral:rRNA from 1 species